UACUGGGGGGGCAAGCGUUGUUCGGAAUUACUGGGCGUAAAGGGCUCGUAGGUGGCCAACUAAGUCAGACGUGAAAUCCCUCAGCUUAACUGGGGAACUGCGUCUGAUACUGGAUGGCUUGAGUUUGGGAGAGGGAUGCGGAAUUCCAGGUGUAGCGGUGAAAUGCGUAGAUAUCUGGAGGAACACCGGUGGCGAAGGCGGCAUCCUGGACCAACACUGACACUGAGGAGCGAAAGCCAGGGGAGCAAACGGG
rnacentral:rRNA from 1 species